GCUUCGCGCCUUGCAACAGGUGCCCCAGGCGCAAGCUUGGGGUGAAACUGGGAAGUUGGUGCGCAUGUUCUUUUGCUAUUCCGACGCUGCCCCCGCAACGGUAGAUGAGUGUUCUGACUCAUAAGCCCGGAGACCGGCCUUUUGCAUACCUACGGC
rnacentral:ncRNA from 2 species